CCGGCCCUGCGGUACGCGGCGAUCGCCCGCUCGUUGUAGCCGAACGCGAGCAGCUGGAUGCGCCGCAGGUUCAGCUCGGUGAACCCGU
rnacentral:tRNA from 1 species